GCUCCCCAGAAGCAGCUGAUGGUGGCAGUUACCAGUGACUAAGAGGAUGAGGAGACCCCACCUAAUGAAGAGGUGCAGCCUGGACCAAGUGAAAAUGAAACCCCUGAAUGCCUGUUAGAGGAGCCUCAUGGUGACAUGGCAGAUGAGGACAUUCCAUCUAAUUCCAUG